AGAGUUUGAUCCUGGCUCAGAUUGAACGCUGGCGGCAUGCUUUACACAUGCAAGUCGAACGGCAGCACGGGCUUCGGCCUGGUGGCGAGUGGCGAACGGGUGAGUAAUGCGUCGGAACGCGCCGAGUAGUGGGGGAUAACGCAGCGAAAGCUGUGCUAAUACCGCAUACGUACUGAGGUAGAAAGUGGGGGACCUUCGGACCUCGCGCGGACGGAGCGGCCGAUGGCAGAUUAGGUAGUUGGUGGGAUAAAAGCUUACCAAGCCGACGAUCUGUAGCUGGUCUGAGAGGAUGAUCAGCCACACUGGGACUGAGACACGGCCCAGACUCCUACGGGAGGCAGCAGUGGGGAAUUUUGGACAAUGGGC
rnacentral:rRNA from 1 species